AGAGUGAACGCUGGCGGCAGGCCUAAUACAUGCAAGUCGAACGGCAGCACGGCAGAGCUUGCUCUGUGGGUGGCGAGUGGCGGACGGGUGAGGAAUACAUGGGAAUCUGCCCAGUCGUGGGGGAUAACGUAGGGAAACUUACGCUAAUACCGCAUGCGCCCUUCGGGGGAAAGCCGGGGACCUUCGGGCCUGGCGCGAUUGGAUGAGCCCAUGUCGGAUUAGCUAGUUGGCGGGGUAACGGCCCACCAAGGCGACGAUCCGUAGCUGGUCUGAGAGGAUGAUCAGCCACACUGGAACUGAGACACGGUCAGACUCCUACGGGAGCAGCAGUAGGAAUAUUGGACAAUGGGGCACAAGCCUGAUCCAGCCAUCGCCGCGGUGAGU
rnacentral:rRNA from 1 species